rnacentral:rRNA from 1 species
GAUGAACGCUGGCGGCGUGCUUAACACAUACAAGUCGAGCGAGAAGUUUUGAAAAGAUUCUUCGGAUGAAAUUUAAAAUGGAAAGCGGCGGACGGGUGAGUAACGCGUAGGCAACCUGCCCCAUACAAAGGGAUAGCAUUUGGAAACGAAUAUUAAUACCUUAUGAAACUUAACUAGUGCAUGCUAGGUAGGUCAAAGAUUUAUCGGUAUGGGAUGGGCCUGCGUCUGAUUAGCUAGUUGGUGAGGUAACGGCUCACCAAGGCGACGAUCAGUAGCCGACCUGAGAGGGUGAACGGCCACAUUGGAACUGAGACACGGUCCAAACUCCUACGGGAGGCAGCAGUGGGGAAUAUUGCACAAUGGGGGAAACCCUGAUGCAGCAACGCCGCGUGAACGAUGAAGGCCUUUGGGUCGUAAAGUUCUGUUCUAGGUGAUGAAAA